rnacentral:ribozyme from 1 species
AGAAAGACAACAAACAAACGAAAGUAAUGUAUAAAUAAGAACGAAAAGAAGCUAAUCACUCAUGUUUGCAUGCUGCAACUCGACAAACUUGAGUUUGCUUUGUUUAUCUUGCAUGAUCAUGUCUUGCUGUUUA